rnacentral:rRNA from 1 species
AUUGAACGCUGGCGGCAAGCUUAACACAUGCAAGUCGAGCGGAGAGAGGUAGCUUGCUACCGAUCUUAGCGGCGGACGGGUGAGUAAUGCUUAGGAAUCUGCCUAUUAGUGGGGGACAACAUUUCGAAAGGAAUGCUAAUACCGCAUACGUCCUACGGGAGAAAGCAGGGGAUCUUCGGACCUUGCGCUAAUAGAUGAGCCUAAGUCGGAUUAGCUAGUUGGUGGGGUAAAGGCCUACCAAGGCGACGAUCUGUAGCGGGUCUGAGAGGAUGAUCCGCCACACUGGGACUGAGACACGGCCCAGACUCCUACGGGAGGCAGCAGUGGGGAAUAUUGGACAAUGGGCGCAAGCCUGAUCCAGCCAUGCCGCGUGUGUGAAGAAGGCCUUAUGGUUGUAAAGCACUUUAAGCGUGGAGGAGGCUACUUUAGUUAAUACCUAGAGAUAGUGGACGUUACUCGCAGAAUAAGCACCGGCUAACUCUGUGCCAGCAGCCGCCGUAACAC